rnacentral:rRNA from 1 species
UGAGGAAUAUUGGGCAAUGCCCGCAAGGGUGACCCAGCAACGCCGCGUGGAGGGUGAAUGUCGUAAGAUUGUAAACUCCUGUUAGAGGGGAAGAAUAGUACCGGUUGGACCGGUAUAUGACUGUACCCUCAGAGAAAGCCCCGGCUAACUACGUGCCAGCAGCCGCGGUAAUACGUAGGGGGCAAGCGUUGUCCGGAUUUACUGGGUGUAAAGGGCGCGCAGGCGGGAUAAAAAGUCAGUGGUGAAAUCCUACAGCUUAACUGUAGAACUGCCUUUGAUACUUUUAUUCUUGAGUUCGGAGAGAGAGACGGAAUUCCAGGUGUAGUGGUGAAAUACGUAGAUAUCUGGAAGAACACCGGUUGCGAAGGCGGUCUCUUGGUCCGACACUGACGCUGAGGCGCGAAAGCGUGGGGAGCAAACA